UACGUAGGCAGCGAGCGUUGUUCGGAGUUACUGGGCGUAAAGCGUGCGUAGGCGGUUGUCUAAGUUUGGGGUGAAAUCUCCCGGCUUAACUGGGAGGGUGCGCCGAAAACUGGGUGACUGGAGUGUCGGAGAGGUAAGCGGAAUUCCUGGUGUAGCGGUGAAAUGCGUAGAGAUCAGGAGGAACACCUGUGGUGUAGACAGCUUACUGGACGAUAACUGACGCUGAGGCACGAAAGCGUGGGUAGCAAACAGG
rnacentral:rRNA from 1 species